rnacentral:rRNA from 1 species
UGGGGAAUAUUGCACAAUGGGCGCAAGCCUGAUGCAGCAACGCCGCGUGAGGGACGACGGCCUUCGGGUUGUAAACCGUCUUUUAGUAGGGAAGUAAGCGAAAGUGAACGGUACCUGGCAGAAAAACGCAACCGGCUAACUACGUGCCAGCAGCCGCGGCUAAUAGCAGUAGGGUUGCGGAGCCGUUGUUCCGGAAUUAUUUGGGCGUAAAGAGCUCGUAGGCGGUCUGUCGCGUCUGCUGUGAAAACCCCGAGGCUCAACCUCGGGCCUGCAGUGGGUACGGGCAGACUAGAGUGCGGUAGGGGAGAAUGGAAUUCCUGGUGUAGCGGUGGAAUGCGCAGAUAUCAGGAGGAACACCGAUGGCGAAGGCAGUUCUCUGGGCCGUAACUGACGCUGAGGAGCGAAAGCGUGGGGAGCGAACAGGAUUAGAUACCCUGGUAGUCCACGCCGUAAACGUUGGGCGCUAGAUGUGGGGACCAUUCCACGGUUUCCGUGUCGCAGCUAACGCAUUAAGCGCCCCGCCUGGGGAGUACGGCCGCAAGGCUAAAACUCAAAGGAAUUGAC